rnacentral:lncRNA from 1 species
UUCCCGGGACUCCCCCAUUCUGCUUCAGUGUCCCCUACACUCUGACCUCACCCCUGUUCCCGCGCUCUGACGCCCAAUUUCCUGUGUCUUCUCCCAGGUGCUCAGACCAUCUGCAAACCCCACGUUUUCUCCGUGUCCCCCAAUGUCCCUUUCUUGUUCCCAGACCUUUCCACCUGAUCUCCGGUCCUCCUGCCUUCUGGGCCUGGCUCCUUGUCCCGCCACUCUCCCAGCCUCUGUGGUCCUGAUGGUUUGUGUGGAGAGAAUAGCUGGGGGGGGGGGGGUUGGGGACAGGGACACAGGGUCCUGUUUAGGUGGAGGGGGAACCUGUUGCAGGGAGCUGCUUGGGAACUCUGCGCUCAGCUGCCUGCGCCCUCCCCCUUCCGCUCUGGCCACCGGGCGCAAUGGUGUACUAGGCUGGGCUCGAGCUCAGAUUUCACACUCGGAUCUCACGGCAGAGUCACCGUGGAGAGGCCAGGGUACCACAAACUUAUGGAUUUUGACAAGAAAGGAGGGAAGGGGGAGUUGGAGGAGGGCCGGAGAAUGUCCAAGACUGGCACCAGCCGGAGCAGCCACGGCGUCCGCGGCUCGGGGACCAGCUCAGGGGUCCUGA